rnacentral:rRNA from 1 species
CCAGCUCCAAUAGCGUAUAUUGUCAGUGUUGCAGUUAAAAAGCUCGUAGUUGGAUUUAAAAUUUGAUUGUAGAAUAAGAAUAAAUUAUUUUUAUUUUAUAGUGAUUAAAUUUAUAUUUAAAUAGGAAAUAUUAUUACCUAGUAAUAAUAAAAUAAUUGAAAUAUUAUUUCUUUAAGUUUCCAUUUAUUUUUUACUUUGAAUAAAUUAGAGUGUUUAAAACAAGUUUUAUAUAUUUACAUUGAAUAUAUUGGCAUGGGAUAAUUUAAUAUGAUUUCUUAUAAAAUUUUAUUUUUGUAGUAGUUUGUUUAUAAGAAAUAAUGAUUAAUAGGAAUGGUUGGGGGUAUUCGUAUUGAAUUGUCAGAGGUGAAAUUCAUGGAUUUUUUCAAGACGAAUAUCAGCGAAAGCAUUUAUCAAGGACGUUUCCAUUAAUCAAGAACGAAAGUUGGGGGAUCGAAGAUGAUCAGAUACCGUCGUAGUCUCAACCAUAAACUAUGUCGACAAAUGAUAGUAAUUUAAUAAAAUAUAGAUUAUAUUAAUUACUGAAAUUUUAAGAGAAAUUAAGAGUAUUUAGACUCUGGGGGAAGUAUUGUCGCAAGGCUGAAACUUAAAGGAAUUGACGGAAGGGCACAACAAGAUGUGGAUUUUGCGGCUUAAUUCGACUCAACAAUCG